CUGCCCCUCAGCGCGCGUGCGGACGGAGGGCGCGUGCGGCUGCGCGGGAACGCGCUGAAGCGGCUGCGGGCAGCGCGCCGGAGCCGGGACGGAGCGGAGCUAAAGAAGUAAACAGCUCAUGGCACGUUUAACAAAAAGAUGACAGGCGGAUACAAAAGCUAUCCAGCAUCUUUGGGCAGCCAUUGAGAUUAUACGGAACCAGAAGCAAAUUGCCAACAUUGACCGUAUUACCAAGACUGUCGUGCUCCAGCUCCUGAGGACUUUACCAUGGAUCCGUGCGUUACUGUGAAUCGUCUCACGUGAGGGUGUCUCACCCUGUCCAUUGCAGCUGCAAGAUUUCCAAUCAAGAUGUAAAGGGUGAAGAAUCAAAGAACAAAGAAUCAGUAACAAGUGAAAUUUAAGCCUUCAGUCAUGCAGAUUCCUAAUAUGAUUCAUAACUCAUUGUCAUGUUAUUUCUCUAAAUGCCAUGUAUAGUUUAAUGUCCAAUAAAAUCAAGUUACAUAUAUCA